GGGUGAGUAAUGCAUGAGCAACCUACCUCUGAAUGGGGGAUAACUUCCUGAAAGGGAGGCUAAUACCGCAUAAGACCACGGUAACUUCGGUUACAGCGGUCAAAAGUGGCCUCUACUUGUAAGCUGCUGUUUAGAGAUGGGCUCAUGUCCUAUUAGCUUGUUGGUGGGGUAAUGGCCUACCAAGGCGACGAUGGGUAGCCGGCCUGAGAGGGUGUCCGGCCACACUGGGACUGAGACACUGCCCAGACUCCUACGGGAGGCUGCAGUCGAGAAUCAUUCGCAAUGGACGAAAGUCUGACGAUGCGACGCCGCGUGAGCGAUGAAGGCUUUCGGGUCGUAAAGCUCUGUCACAAGGGAAGAACAGCAUUAAUGUUAAUAGCAUUUUUGUUUGACGGUACCUUGAGAGGAAGCCCCGGCUAACUCCGUGCCAGCAGCCGCGGUAAUACGGAGGGGGCGAGCGUUGUUCGGAUUCACUGGGUGUAAAGGGCGCGUAGGUCGCUAGUUAAGUUGGGUGUGAAAGCCCUCGGCUCAACCGAGGAAUUGCAUUCAAUACUGAUUAGCUAGAGUAUAGAAGAGGAAAGCGGAAUUCCUGGUGUAGCGGUGAAAUUCGUAGAUAUCAGGAGGAACACCGGUGGCGAAAGCGGCUUUCUGGUCUAAUACUGACACUGAGGCGCGAAAGCCAGGGGAGCGAACGGGAUUAGAUACCCCGGUAGUCCUGGCCGUAAACGAUGAAUACUAGGUGUAGGAAGUGUUAUGCUUUCUGUGCCGACGCUAACGCAUUAAGUAUUCCACCUGGGGAGUACGACCGCAAGGUUGAAACUCAAAGGAAUUGACGGGGACCCGCACAAGCGGUGGAGCAUGUGGUUUAAUUCGAAGCAACGCGAAGAACCUUACCCAGGCUUGACAUGUAUUUGACAGCCCUUGAAAAAGGGUUUUCCUUCGGGACAGAUACACAGGUGUUGCAUGGCUGUCGUCAGCUCGUGUCGUGAGAUGCUGGGUUAAGUCCCGCAACGAGCGCAACCCUUGCCCUUAGUUACCAGCGAGUUAUGCCGGGGACUCUAGGGGGACUGCCAGUGGUAAACUGGAGGAAGGUGGGGAUGACGUCAAGUCGUCAUGGCCCUUACGCCUGGGGCUACACACGUGCUACAAUGGCCGAUACAAAGGGCUGCUAAACCGCGAGGUUAUGCCAAUCCCAAAAAGUCGGUCUCAGUUCGGAUAGGAGUCUGCAAUUCGACUCCUUGAAGCUGGAAUCGCUAGUAAUGGCAGAUCAGCUAUGCUGCCGUGAAUACGUUCCCGGGUCUUGUACACACCGCCCGUCAAGCCACCCGAAUUGGGUGCACCCGAAGUCGCUGACUCAACCCUAUGGGAGAGAGGUGCCGAAGGUGUGCUUGGUGAGGGGGACUAAGUCGUAACAAGGUA
rnacentral:rRNA from 1 species